rnacentral:tRNA from 1 species
GGGGGGGGAUGGGUUCUGGUGUGCCCUCCGGUCUUCAAAACCGGCAUGAGGAGUUAGGAGCUUCUUAGGUGGGUUCGAUUCCCACACCUUCCCGCCA